rnacentral:rRNA from 1 species
GACGAACGCUGGCGGCGUGCUUAACACAUGCAAGUCGAGCGGUAAGGCCCUUUCGGGGGUACACGAGCGGCGAACGGGUGAGUAACACGUGGGUGACCUGCCCUCAGCUCUGGGAUAAGCCCGGGAAACUGGGUCUAAUACUGGAUAUUAUUCUGCGGUGCAUGCCGUGGGGUGGAAAGCCUUGUGCGGCUGGGGAUGGGCCCGCGGCCUAUCAGCUUGUUGGUGGGGUGAUGGCCACCAAGGCGACGACGGGUAGCCGGCCUGAGAGGGCGACCGGCCACACUGGGACUGAGACACGGCCCAGACUCCUACGGGAGGCAGCAGUGGGGAAUCUUGCGCAAUGGGCGAAAGCCUGACGCAGCGACGCCGCGUGAGGGAUGACGGCCU